GUAUUUAUUUUUGACUAUUGCUUUUUUGGAAGCAUAGGAAAAAGAUAUGGAGUUUCCCUUGAAAGGGGGUACUCUGAAAUAGAUUGCCUCUGUUUUGAUGGACUCGACGAAGUUUUUCAAUCCUACAGAAAAGUAUUUGAAUGGAACUGUGGUUUCUCAAUAUGCUGAAUACGUAGGCGAAAGAUGGAGAAUCCUUCAGGCAGAUGUUCAUAAACUAAAAGUUGAUCUUAGGAUUGACUUGAA
rnacentral:misc_RNA from 1 species